rnacentral:snRNA from 1 species
UUACUCUGGUUUCUCUUCAAAUCGUAUAAAUCUUUCGCCUUUUACUAAAGAUUUCCGUGGAGAGGAACAAGAGUUAAUAACUAAUUUUUUGAAGUCCUGCAGAGCAGGACU